CAGUGAGAUGAGGAGUGCCAUUUACCCCACUGCACGCCUACUGUACUGAGAGGAGAAAAGAGAGGGAAGGAGUUGCACAACCAAAGUUUGCAAGAAAAACAGAGUGAUCCAUCCUAAAGUCCCCACAGCCCCGAACGUCUGAGGAAAAACUCAGCCAUGGAGCAGAAGACAAAUGAGAGUCCCACCAACACCUCUCCUCAGAAACACAUGAAAAACAGGUCUAAGUCCACAGAGGAGGUGCAGCAGUCAAAGAAGGCCUUUUCCUCACAAAAAUCACUUCCAGGCAGACCAGAGCUGGAGAGAGUGAAGGAAUGUCCUGAUGGCUCUGAGACACCGUCAUCCUCCAGUGAAGAACUGAAAUGAUGAACAAAAGCAAAAAAAGAUGCCAUAAAGCUACAUCAUCAUAAACCUGAGACAUAAAAUGUGCAGAAGUACACAGGGGAACAGGCAGAAUAGUAUAUGAAAAAAAUGCAAGCCAUGAAUUAAUUAAAAGGACAGAAUUGGACUAAAACACACACACACACACACACACACACACACACACACACACACACACACACACACACACACACACACACACACACACACACACACACACACACACACACACA